rnacentral:rRNA from 1 species
GUUGUAUGGUUAAGUGACUAAGCGUACACGGUGGAUGCCUGGGCAGUCAGAGGCGAUGAAGGACGUACUAACUUGCGAUAAGCGCAGAUAAGGCAGUAAGAGCCGUUUGAGUCUGCGAUUUCCGAAUGGGGAAACCCAACUGCAUAAGCAGUUACUGUUAACUGAAUACAUAGGUUAACAGAGCAAACCGGGGGAACUGAAACAUCUAAGUACCCCGAGGAGAAGAAAUCAACCGAGAUUCCGGUAGUAGCGGCGAGCGAACCUGGAUUAGCCCUUAAGCACUCGGUGAAGUAGGUGAACAAGCUGGAAAGCUUGGCGAUACAGGGUGAUAGCCCCGUAACCGACGCUUCAUCGAGCGUGAAAUCGAGUAGGGCGGGACACGUGAUAUCCUGUCUGAAUAUGGGGGGACCAUCCUCCAAGGCUAAAUACUCCUGACUGACCGAUAGUGAACCAGUACCGUGAGGGAAAGGCGAAAAGAACCCCUGUGAGGGGAGUGAAAUAGAACCUGAAACCGUGUACGUACAAGCAGUAGGAGCACCUUCGUGGUGUGACUGCGUACCUUUUGUAUAAUGGGUCAGCGACUUAUAUUCAGUGGCAAGGUUAACCGUAUAGGGGAGCCGUAGCGAAAGCGAGUCUUAACUGGGCGCUCAGUCUCUGGAUAUAGACCCGAAACCGGGUGAUCUAGCCAUGGGCAGGUUGAAGGUUGAGUAACAUCAACUGGAGGACCGAACCGACUAAUGUUGAAAAAUUAGCGGAUGACUUGUGGCUAGGGGUGAAAGGCCAAUCAAACUCGGAGAUAGCUGGUUCUCCCCGAAAGCUAUUUAGGUAGCGCCUCGGACGAAUACUACUGGGGGUAGAGCACUGUUAAGGCUAGGGGGUCAUCCCGACUUACCAACCCUUUGCAAACUCCGAAUACCAGUAAGUACUAUCCGGGAGACACACGGCGGGUGCUAACGUCCGUCGUGGAGAGGGAAACAACCCAGACCGCCAGCUAAGGUCCCAAAGUAUUGCUAAGUGGGAAACGAUGUGGGAAGGCUCAGACAGCUAGGAUGUUGGCUUAGAAGCAGCCAUCAUUUAAAGAAAGCGUAAUAGCUCACUAGUCGAGUCGGCCUGCGCGGAAGAUGUAACGGGGCUAAGCAAUACACCGAAGCUGCGGCAAUAUCUUUUAGAUAUUGGGUAGGGGAGCGUUCUGUAAGCCGUUGAAGGUGAAUCGUAAGGUUUGCUGGAGGUAUCAGAAGUGCGAAUGCUGACAUGAGUAACGACAAAGGGGGUGAAAAACCUCCUCGCCGGAAGACCAAGGGUUCCUGUCCAACGUUAAUCGGGGCAGGGUGAGUCGACCCCUAAGGUGAGGCCGAAAGGCGUAAUCGAUGGGAAACGGGUUAAUAUUCCCGUACUUCUGACUAUUGCGAUGGGGGGACGGAGAAGGCUAGGUGGGCCAGGCGACGGUUGUCCUGGUUCAAGUGCGUAGGCUUGAGAGUUAGGUAAAUCCGGCUCUCUCUAAGGCUGAGACACGACGUCGAGCUGCUACGGCAGUGAAGUCAUUGAUGCCAUGCUUCCAGGAAAAGCCUCUAAGCUUCAGAUAGUCAGGAAUCGUACCCCAAACCGACACAGGUGGUCGGGUAGAGAAUACCAAGGCGCUUGAGAGAACUCGGGUGAAGGAACUAGGCAAAAUGGUACCGUAACUUCGGGAGAAGGUACGCUCUUGAUGGUGAAGUCCCUCGCGGAUGGAGCUGACGAGAGUCGCAGAUACCAGGUGGCUGCAACUGUUUAUUAAAAACACAGCACUGUGCAAAAUCGCAAGAUGACGUAUACGGUGUGACGCCUGCCCGGUGCCGGAAGGUUAAUUGAUGGGGUUAGCGCAAGCGAAGCUCUUGAUCGAAGCCCCGGUAAACGGCGGCCGUAACUAUAACGGUCCUAAGGUAGCGAAAUUCCUUGUCGGGUAAGUUCCGACCUGCACGAAUGGCGUAAUGAUGGCCACGCUGUCUCCACCCGAGACUCAGUGAAAUUGAAAUCGCUGUGAAGAUGCAGUGUACCCGCGGCUAGACGGAAAGACCCCGUGAACCUUUACUACAGCUUGGCACUGAACAUUGAACCUACAUGUGUAGGAUAGGUGGGAGGCUAUGAAGACGUGACGCCAGUUGCGUUGGAGCCGUCCUUGAAAUACCACCCUUGUAUGUUUGAUGUUCUAACUUAGACCCAUUAUCUGGGUUGAGGACAGUGCCUGGUGGGUAGUUUGACUGGGGCGGUCUCCUCCCAAAGAGUAACGGAGGAGCACGAAGGUGGGCUAAUCACGGUUGGACAUCGUGAGGUUAGUGCAAUGGCAUAAGCCCGCUUAACUGCGAGAAUGACGGUUCGAGCAGGUGCGAAAGCAGGUCAUAGUGAUCCGGUGGUUCUGUAUGGAAGGGCCAUCGCUCAACGGAUAAAAGGUACUCCGGGGAUAACAGGCUGAUACCGCCCAAGAGUUCAUAUCGACGGCGGUGUUUGGCACCUCGAUGUCGGCUCAUCACAUCCUGGGGCUGAAGUCGGUCCCAAGGGUAUGGCUGUUCGCCAUUUAAAGUGGUACGCGAGCUGGGUUUAGAACGUCGUGAGACAGUUCGGUCCCUAUCUGCCGUGGGCGUUGGAAGAUUGAAGGGGGCUGCUCCUAGUACGAGAGGACCGGAGUGGACGAACCUCUGGUGUUCGGGUUGUGUCGCCAGACGCAUUGCCCGGUAGCUAAGUUCGGAAUUGAUAAGCGCUGAAAGCAUCUAAGCGCGAAGCGAGC